GAGUUUGAUCCUGGCUCAGAACCAACGCUGGCGGCAUGCCUAACACAUGCAAGUCGAACGGGAAGCCGGUCUUCGGGCCGGUGGAGAGUGGCGAACGGGUGAGGAACGCGUGGGGACCUGCCCCGGGGUGGGGGAUAACCGCUGGAAACGGCGGCUAAUACCGCAUACGCCUUGCGAGGGAAAGAUUUAUCGCCCUGGGAUGGCCCCGCGUCCGAUUAGCUUGUUGGUGGGGUAACGGCCUACCAAGGCGGCGAUCGGUCGCUGGUCUGAGAGGAUGAUCAGCCACACUGGGACUGAGACACGGCCCAGACUCCUACGGGAGGCAGCAGUGGGGAAUAUUGGACAAUGGGGGCAACCCUGAUCCAGCAAUGCCGCGUGAGUGAAGAAGGCCUUAGGGUUGUAAAGCUCUUUCGCCCGUGACGAUGAUGACGGUAGCGGGAGAAGAAGCCCCGGCUAACUCCGUGCCAGCAGCCGCGGUAAUACGGAGGGGGCGAGCGUUGUUCCGGAAUUACUGGGCGUAAAGCGCGCCGUAGGCGGCUGCGCUAGUCGGGGGUGAAAAG
rnacentral:rRNA from 1 species